UAGAGGAAUCUGUUCUGUAAUUGAUAAUCCACGUUGGACCUUACUUAAUUUUGUUUUCAAUUUGUAUAUCGCCGUCAUCAGAAUAUAUUAUAAGAUUAAUAAUUUUCUUGAUAUUUCAUUAAAUAAUAUGUCAGGUCAAGGUGCAGUUUAUGGUUAAGUAGAAAUGGAUUACAAUAAAUAUAUUUAUACGGAUAAUUUUUUGAAAUAAAAAUUUGAAGGUGGAUUUAAUAGUAAUAUAAAAUAGAUUAUUUAUAUGAUUAUAGCUCUAAAACAUGCACACAUCGCCCGUCGCUCUCAUUUUUAAAAUGAGAUAAGUCGUAACAUAGUAGAUGUACUGGAAAGUGUAUCUAGAAUGA
rnacentral:rRNA from 1 species